rnacentral:tRNA from 1 species
GGGGUUGUGGCUCAGCAGUAGAGCACUUGCCUAGCAUGUGUGAGGCGCUGGGUUCGAUCCUCAGCACCCCA